rnacentral:lncRNA from 1 species
CCUUAUCACCUUUUUUUCUCUUUCUUUUGCAAUAUAAUAGAAUACUCACACACUGUCAUAUGCGGACUCACCCCCUCCCCCAAUAUACAUACACACUCACUGGUACAGAGAAUUAGCAGUAACAAUACACGUCAUAUGCACUCCACAAUGCAAUACACUCACUGAAAAUUGGAGAAACAAUACACGCACACCAGACAUUCUUCCAUUUUCACCAAUACACACAGCUUUCACUCACAGAAGAUCACACACACACAUUCACGCACGGGGGGAGAGAAAAGGGGACCUCACCAUACUAUGGACACUACACUCACACGAAAACCUCACUGAAAUACAUCUACCCUACUAAAAUAUAAUUCACCAAAAUCACAGCCAUACACUCACGCGCACAGCAACACACUCACACGCAGAGAGUAGAAGCAGAGGGAAAAUGAUAAACAGAGAGAGAUAGAAAACACAGUGAGAGAGGAAUGAAAUGGAGUAGACUGAAAAGAGAUCGGAGAAACAGAAAUGGGAAAAACCCUCGCCGAAAACAACCUGUCCAGUGACGCAAGCCCACUGGGAAACCAGUUCCGCCCCUAAGCUUUCGAAACCAGCGACCAAAGGCCUCAAAACCGACCAAAUUCUCAUAUUCAGGCGAGGCCCCGCUCAAUUUCUGAUGAACAGCUGGCGAGCUUUCACUGAAAAUUCCAUCGACUCGUCAACCAUUAUCCACCCAUCAGAAAGCAACCAUAAUCCGACUAACUUCAGUAUCCUGGCGGGGAUUUUGUCUUUCUUUCAUGAGUUUUGGCCUGGUUAGUGAGAAAUAGAAUCGGGUGUGGCGACAUCAACGAUAUUGAUUUGGGGUUUUUGAUUUUGAGGUUCGAAUCGAGGCUCUCGACGUGGACUCCAUUUCGUUUAAUUGAGUAAUACUUGAAUGAAAGCGACAUUAAGGUCCACUCUUUAUCUCACUCUCGAUUCAUUUUAAUUGUUUGAUAUUUUGUGUGGUAAAUUUAUUGGUGUGUGAAUUUUGUUUGUCGUUGAUUUUGAUAUGCUUGGAUCAUCGUAAGUGAUUGUUAAUAUUGAUGGUUUGAUUAUUUGAAUUGAAUAAUUGAACAAUUUAAACUCAAUUGAGAAUAAGUAGGGAACGGGAUCGAAUAGUGAUAAAAAAUGAAUAUUGGCUCAGAUUGGUUCAUCGAUUGAGUUGGUUUGAAAUGAACAUUAAUUUUGUCGAAUUCAAUAGUAUUUUGUUUAGGUCGUCAAAUGGGUAAGCAAACUUAGGGAUUGUGAAUUGUGAAUGUUUGAAGUGUUUGUUGAAUGGUGUUGGUUUUCGUGCAUUAAAAAAAAUAUACUUAUUUAAACGGGUAAUGCCCCGAGGCCAUUUGUAUUUAUCCACUAGGGAAUGCCCCCAAGUAUCUUGUACGCAAAGGACGUUCGUGAUAAAUGACCAAGGCGUUGGGUAGAGAAUAGUUCAGGUUAGUAUAGGUUAGUGUAGGUUUAUUUCAGUAUCUUUAUUUCGGACUGUAAUAAUUGGAGUAAACACUGUUUUUUGGAGUUUGAAUUGUUUGGUUGUUUUUUUUUUUUUUUUUUUUUUUUGAGUUUUUGUUGGUUUAUACAUUCCAUAGUGUUGUACAAGCUGAUUUACUCCACGAAAUGAUCGUGGUUGAACCACGGGACCGGGGGAUGCCUAACAUUUUUUCCUCGAUCAACAGAAUUCCUUAGCCGAAAUCUCUAUUUGCAAAUCAGUUUAAAGAGUCAAAAUUGUUUUGAAGAAGGAUUUCCAAAGGUGACUUGGUACACCAGAUUUAUGCCAAGUGGAAAAUCUGAAUUUAAAUGUAAAAGAAUCCUUUUUCGAAAUAAACUUUAUCUUUUGUCACUUAAUAAUAAAAAUCCUUUCAACCUUAAAAUGAAAUCUUUUUGGUAAAAAAGAGGUGUGACAGCUCUGGCGACUCUGCUGGAGAUAUUUUAGAAUUCGAGCUUAUUUUUUCGAGUUGUAUCGGCUUAGUGUGACACAAUGGGUUUAUAGAAAUUUUGUUUGUGCUAUUAUUUGUGUUAUUUUUUUAUCAUUGUUGGAUGUGUAUGUUCUACGUGUUUACAGUUUUCUCUUAUGUGUUACCGCUUCAUAUCUAGCAUCAUAUGCGUUACUUCGAGUUAUUAUUUUCUGUAAUAAGUUUCGAAGUACACUUCAUAUACACGAACUCUAGUUGAGUCACCUUUAUUUUAGGAGGAGGAGCCAUCAGAUGUAUGGAGUAGGUGGAAAGCAAUCGCAGCCACUAUCGACCAUAUACGCCCUCGAACAGCCUUGUUAGUGGACCCCGACCUAGAUCAGCCUUUAGGUCAUGCUUAUUUGCAUCAUAUUGAGACCUAGCGGGAUCCACUUGGUCCUUUGUAGGAGACUUACUCCUAAAGCAUCCCUACGUGCUAAUUGUUGCAUUUUCGAGGGUAACAGGGUCAUUUGACUGAUUGAUUUAGGGAAAAGCGUGUGUUUAGGCAAGAACAAUUCGAAAAAAGAAAAUAAAGGUGAAUCAGAAAAGAGUUUCGUAGUUUUUAGAGUUAUUUAUGGAUUUUGUUUUCCACAAUUCAAAAAUUCAAAAAGAAUUUUUACCUUUUGCACUCAUUUGUCAAAAACAAAAACAUCAAAAAGAUUUUCCUUUUGUUUCUUUAGUAAGCAUUCAUAAUUCAAAAAUUUCAAUGCAAAUUUUUCUUAAUCGAGCUUUUUAUAAAAUAAAUGCAAAAAAAUGGUAGAUGUUUUGUACAUUUCAUAUAACGAAAUACCAAAAAGAUUUUUUUUCAUAGUUAUUGAUCAUUUUAUGUGAAGUGUCAAAUUGAAAACUCAAAAAAGAUUUUAUUGACUUUUUCAUUGUCUGUCUUUGUUGUGUCCCUCAAGUCGUGGUUCAUCAGUAUUUUUAAUUGUCUAAAUCUGGAAGAACUACGCACACCUGAUUCUCCUCUCUCUGGAGUGAGAUACAUAGGCAGCCAUUCUAGGGUUCGGUGAUCUUAUUUAAAAAAUCCUUAAAAAAACUUUUUCACUCUUCAUUUAGAGUAGGUGUUUCAUAUAGAUAUUUAAGAGAAAAUUACAAAAAGAUUUUCCUUUAAUAGUUUCAAGUUUCAUUUUUGUAUGAAAUUAAAAAUUGAAAACCCAAAUAGAUUUUUCUUUGGUAAUCGUAGGUUUCAUUUUGUAUAGAGAUUUUAAAGUUGGAAAAUUCAAAAAUAUUUAUCGUCAAUUCUUUUGACAAUUUGUUAUUUUCUUUUCUUCUUAAAGUUUUAAUAAAAAAAGAGAUUUUGAUCGGCCAUGUUGGGCCAAAACUUCACGAACUAGGCACACCAAAUUAUCCUCUCUUGAGAGUGAUAUAUGUAGGUGCCCUUCUUGGGUUCGGUGAUCUUUUCCAAAGAAAGAAAAAUAGAGAAAAAGAUUUUGAGAAAAUAUUGAACUCUAAUACUUUUGUUAUCUCUUGUUCAAUUAGUUUAAAGUAGUUGGUUUGUGGCAUUUUGGCUGGUCCUCCACAUUGCACCAACUCGAAGAGAAAGUUAUGGCCAACAAGGAUACUGAGAUUGUUGUCACUAAUCAGAUAGUGAGUUUGGGAAAUGAGAAUUUAGAAGCUAAUGAAGAGAUUCGGAAAUUAUGGCAAUAAAUAAUAGAAAUGCAUCGAGCUUGGCCUAAUGGGUUGCCGUCUCCUCCAUUUCCCACUGAUAAUCUAAAAUAUCUUUCUAGCUUGCCUCCCGUGUCACAUGCAUAAUUUCCCAUUUAUGUUGACAUACCAAAACAUGCAUCAGGGUCCACUUUGGGGCAACACUAUCCAAGCACUUCUAAUAUUCAUUUCCUCACACCUCAACACAAAACUACCACGUACUCGGCUCCACCUACUAUUCAUGUUUUUGCAGCUACAUUCCCACUUGAAGCUCCUAAUUUGAGGUUCGGGCAACCGGUUGUUCCUCCCUACUCUACGAGAGAGCCUGUAUUAAAUAUUUUUGAUGAUCAGUAUUAUGCUCUCGAGCCCACAUUUAAGUCGACUGGUCCUUAUGGCAACAUUCAACCUCUUGAAUUUCAUCUCAACACUGAGAAUCCUAUUGUGACAGAAGAAUAGGAGGGGAUGACACAGAAUCUGAAUAGUUUAGAACAAGCCAUGAGAAACUUUCAAGGGCUCAAGGGUUACAAAAAUGUCUCUUAUAAAGAUUUGUGCAUGUUUCUAGGUGUUAAUCUCUCUUUUGGUUUUAAAAUGCUGAAGUUUGAGAAAUAUGGCUGGCAUGGGGACCUAGUGGCACAUUUGAGGCUUAUUGUAACCAUCCAAGGGGCGCUGAAGGGAAAGAAGAAUUGCUCAUGGCUUAUUUCAGUGAGAGUCUUUCAAGUCUAGCUUCGAAAUGGUUUGUUGACCAAGACAUCGACAAGUGGAAUAGUUGGGAUGACCUAGUUAAUGAAUUCGUGCAACAAUUCUAAUACAAUGUGGAGUUGAUUCUUGACGAGAAAUCCUUAACUAAUAUGAAGAAGAAGAGUAUAAAAAGUUUCAGGGAAAUGCGAUUAGAUGGCGUGAACAAGCUGCUAGGGUGAAACCACCAAUGAAAGAAAGCAAGAUAGUGGAGGUGUUUAUUCAAGCGUAGGAUAAAACAUAUUAUCAACACUUGUUACCUGCAUUAGGCAAUCCAUUUAUUGAGUCCCUCAAAAUGGGAGAGAUGAUAGAGGAUAGAAUUAAGACUUGUCGCAUUGUGAGUUAUGAAACAUUGAAAGCAACUACUCAAGCAAUUCAAAAGGGUUCAGAAAAUGCUAGAGGGAAGAAGAAUAAGGAAGAUGUAUCUGCUAUGAUAGCUGGACAACAGGCAUAUCCAAGAAGGCCACAUCGCCAUUACCCUCAGUCUCAAGCCUAAGUUCGUAACCAAACUCUAUAUAUUCACUCCUAAAAACCAUUAUAUUCUAUUCCACCACCUCCAUAUCCAGUAUGCGACCAACCAUAUACUUAUCUGUCUUCUUAUCCACAAUGGUGUGCAUCGGUCCCUCAACAUCGUCCUUAACCCCCACAUAUUUACCAAGGAACCACUAAGCCCAGUUUCAACCGAGCCGGAGUUUGCAAAAAGGAGGAAGUCAAAGGCUAAUUUUAUACGAAAUGUGUCUGAUAGUGGUGAAAACUCUAGUCAUGGUGUUGUGCAAAUCAGUGAAUACGAUGUCAAGCUCAGCAAUUGGGAAGUCACUCUUUUUCUUACUUGGAAGUAUUUUUGGUAGUUUUUUUUGUUUUUCUUUCUGUUUUCCGAAUUAGUUGAGGGUUGUAGUUCAAAAUCUAUCUUGUUUUGUUUCUCUGUCAUUUUUGUUUAAACUUUUCUAUCUUUUUUUAAUGAAAUAUGGUGUCCUUGUUGUUUUGCCUUAUUUAGGUUGUUUGUUUGUUUUCUUUACACAGUUCCUUAUAUGUUAGUUCUAGUGAUAUGACAUGCUGGCGGAAUUUUCAGCUAGAUCUUAAAAUCCAGUUUAAGCAUGAACUUUGAAUUAGAGGGCUAAAGUUAGAAAAAGAGAGCAGCUAAGAAAAUAGGUAGAGUGUUAAGGCAUUUGGUGAUCAAAUUGAAGCCUUCUUUAAAAAUCAAAGCAAUUAUUUUAAGACGCGCAAGAAUAACUUGGUCAUCAAUUGAAAAACAUAUCUCAAAUAGGUCAAAUAGUGAACGUGUGAUCCUUAUGUUAAGAGAAACAGAAAGAUAAUCAGCUCCAUAAAAACAUGGGUCAUUCGAUGUGAGAGGUGUACAACAAAGGUGGAGUUGUAUAUUUCACAAGUGUAGAAGAAGAAGUGGCACACAUGCUCAGUGUCACAAAUGAUCUUCAUCUUUCACUUUAUAUUGCAUAUAUGCACUUGCAUUUUCAAGGAUUGAUAUGACAAAGGCAUUCCAUUCUGCUAUCCAAAUGUUGUGUCAUUAUUUGUUUACCCCAUUUGAGCUUUAGUUCUAUUUUCUUUCAUAUCUCUCUUUUGGAAUCAAGAUAGAGUUAGUAAAGCUCAAAAAGAAAAGUAUCGAGCAAAAGAAUAGAGUCAGGAAUGUUUCAAAAGUAAAUAAAUAAAUAAAAAGAAAGAAAUAUGUCCAAAAGAAAGAAAAAGAAGAAUGUCAAGAAAAAUAGAUCAGAAAAGUCCUAAAGAGAAAAAGAGUCACUGAAAAAAGAGAAAUUCGAAUCAAGGAAAACAAAUUGUCAGAACUACGUGUGACCUGAUUCUCCUCUUUCGGAAGUGAGAUACGUAGGCUUCCCUACUCUGGGCUCGGUUCAACCAAAUAAACAAUUUAGAAUUGUCCAGUCAAAAGAAACUGGGGCAUGAGUUGAUUUUUAUUAUUUGAGUCAAUUCCAAAAUUUGUAAGUCCCACCCCAAAGUGUCGUUUGGGCCUCAUACCAUCAUUUCUUUCUAACCUUAUCCAAAAGUCAAGUUACAAUCAAAGAAGGACCUUUAUAUCAAUCUUUAAGAAUAUUAAGGCUAAGCAUGCAAUGGAUAUGAUGACGCAUUUUGAGUAUUAUUUGUCUUCCUCAACAUAAGGAAUCAGGAGAGAAAUAAAAAUAAAAGAGUCUUAUUUGUGAAAAUCCUCACGGGCACUAUAAGAUGAUGGUAAGCUGAGAGAGAUAAAAAUGAGAGAGUUUUAUCGAUGAAAAUAUUCACUGGCACCGUAAGACGAUUAUGAGUUGAGAGAUAUGAAAAGGAGAAAGUCUCAUAAAGUCUUGCUGGUGAAAAUUCUCAUGAACACCACAAGGCAAUGGUGAGCUGAGAAAAAGAAAAUCUGAGAGCCUUAUUGGCGAUAAACCUUCAAGGCAUCACUAGCCGAAUGAGGUCUCUGAAUGCAAUUGGCCCAAGGAAGCAACUCAGUUUCAAGGUUAUUAACUCAACAACAAUUGGUGGAAAGUUUGGAUAAAAAGAUCGGGCAGCUUAAUCCAAAAAAUGCAUGGCAUAAUCAUUAGAAUUUAUUCUCAUUUUCAGAUAAAUCUUUUCUUUCCUUUAUUUUCAAAAAGGGACAAACAUUGUCUUUCUUUCUUCUCAAUAUUUUCAUUUUUAUUGUCUUUUUGAGUCUGUCAUUGAACAAAAAAUCAUUUUUCUCAUGUCUUAGAGUCAAGUCAUGUCAAAACAAGUGAGAAAGGAUCUCAAAACUUGCUACCAACUUCUUCAAUUGCACACAGCAAGAUAAAAGGCUAGCACAUAAAAGGAAUAUAAUUGUGAGUCGAAACAAGACAAGUAGAAAGAUUUGCCAGAAAACAAGUUUGGGGAAUUAAGUAAAUACCAAGGUUCAAAAGAAUUGUCUAAGAGACAUAGCAAAACAGAGAUACUGUGUUUGUUUCAGAGUCACUUUUAAUAGUCUGAGUUUGGAUCAAUGAUGCAACAAGUCAAUGACAUAUUCCAUUAGUUGAAAGCAAAAUCAAUGGGACAAAUGCAAUAGAAAUCGCCUCAAAAUCCAAAGUCGCAAGCCAACCACCAUGUUCAAACUCAUAAGCUUUUCUUUGUGUGAAAUAGAAAUAGUUGCUACCUUCAAAUCAAAGGCUUCAAAGCGCAAAUAUCUAGAGGUGUAAUUCCUUAUUUCUACAAAUACAAGAGCAGUGUUGUUGUAUAGGUUUGGUAAUCACAAAUAUGGUAAAACUCAUCAUCUUGUACUCCUAAGAGACGCAUUCUCUAAUUUGGGUCUUUCAUAUCUCAUGGCUAGGAGGUGCACUCCCUAAUUUGAGCCGUUAAUCUUAGAAGAUGCACUUUUGGUAAGAAUCUUUCACUUUCACUCUUAAGAGACAAACUUAUUGGACUCGAUAAUUCAAUUUUAUCCUUAAAAAGUGCAUUUGUUCAUUGGAAUCUUAAUUCAUCUUUGCAAUAUCCAUUGUUGCAAGUAGUUGUGAUUGGGUUUGACACCCACAAAAGCUUUUGAAAAUAAAAUUUAAUUCCUAUUAUUUAGAACUUUACUUUAGGACCCUCUUUGAAAAUAGGGCAUUACUUUAUGUUCAAGACCCCCCUGGAAAAUGGGGCAUUACUUUUUGUUGAGGAUCCUCCGGAAGAAGGGGCAUUACUUUCUGUUCAGGACCCUCCUGAAAAAUGGGGCAUUACUUUGUGAUUAGAACCAACCUAGAAAAUGGGACAUUAUUUAUUUUUUGAAAAAUGAAAUCUUUCUUUAUCAUAAUCUUUAUUUAGGAUAACUUUUCGUUCUAGUUUUGAUUUUGAUGACAGGAGCCCGUCUAGAGAAUAAGGUGAUGAAAUUGAAAGUCAGGAACCUGCCUGAAGAACAUGGUGAUGAAAUUGCAAGCCAGGAGUUUGCCUGAAGAACAGGGUGAUGAAAUGGAGAGUUAGGAGUCCGCCUGAAGAACAGGGUGAUGAAAUGACAAGUCGGGAGCCCGCCUGAAGAAUAGGGUAAUGCAAUAGCAACUCAGGAGCCCACCUAAAAAAUAAGGUGUGAAAUAGCAACUUAGGAACCCGCCUGAAAAACAAGGUGAUGAAAUUGCGAGUCAGGAGCCAGCCUAAAGAACAGGGUGAUGAAAUAGAAACUCAGAAGCCCGCCUAAAGAAUAGGGUGAUGAAACCUAAAGAAUAGGAUGAUGAAAUAGCAACUCAGAAGCCCGCCUAGAGAACAGGGUGAUAAAAUAGCAACUCAGGAGCCCACCUGAAGAACAGGGUGAGGAAAUUGCAAGUCAGGAUCCCAGCUGAAGAUCAGGGUGAUGACAUAGCAACUUAGGAGCCCGCUUGAAAAAUAGGGUGAUGAAAUUACAAGUUAGAAGCCCUUCUGAAGAACGGGGUGAUGAAAUUGCAAGUCAGGAGCCCACUUUAAGAAUAAGAUGAUAAAAUUAUAAGUCAAGAGCCCGCCUGGAGAACAGGGUGAUGAAAUUACAAGUCAGGAGCCUGCCUGAAGAACAGGGUGACGAAAUUGCAAGUUGUGAUUCUGCUUGGAGAAUAGGGUGAUGAAAUUGCAAGUCAGGAAUUAAAAGUCUGGAGUCUACCUAGAGAACAGGGUGAUGAAAUUGCAAGUUAGAAGCCCGUCUAAAAAAUAGGGUGAUGAAAUUGCAAGUCAGGAGCCCGCCUAGAGAAGAGGGUAAUAAAAUUACAACCCAGGAGCCCGCCGGAAGAACAAGGUGAUGACAUUACAAGUUAGGAGUCUGCCUGAAGAACAGGGAGAUGAAAUAGAACCUCAGGAGCCCGCAUGAAGAGCAGAGUGAUGAAAUAGCAAGUCAGGAGCCCACCUGAAGAACAGGAUGAGAAAAUUGCAAGUCAGGAGCCCACCUAAAGAACAGGGUGAUGACAUAGCAACUCAGGAGUCCGCCUGAAGAACAGGGUGAUGAAAUUAUAAUUAAGGAUCCCGCCUGAAGAAUAGGGUGAUGAAAUUGCAAGUCAGGAGCCCACCUAAAAAAUAGGAUGAUGAAAUUGCAAGUCAGGAGCCUGCCUGGAGAACAGAGUGAUAGAAUUGCAAGUUAGGAGCAUGCCUAAAGAAUAGGUUGAUGAAGUUGCAAGUCAAUAGCCCACCUGGAGAACAGGGUGAUGAAACUGCAAGUCAAGAGCCUGCUUGGAGAACAGGGUGAUGAAAUUAAAAGUCAGGAGCCCGUCUGAAGAACAGUGUGAUAAAAUUGCAAGUCAGGAGCCCGACUGAAGAACGGGGAGAUGAAAGUACAAGUCAAAAGCCCGCAUGGAGAAUAAGAUGAUGAAACUACAAGUUAGGAGCCCGCCUGAAGAAUAGGGUGAUAAAUGACAAGUCAGAAGCUCACCUGAAGAAUAUGGUGAUGAAAUUGCAAGUUAGGAGCCCACCUGAAGAACAAGGUGAUAAAAUUGCAAGUCAAAAGCACACCUAAAAAGCAGGGUUAUGAAAUGGCAAGUCUAGAACCCUCCUAAAGAGCAGGGUGAUGAAAUGGCAAGUCAGGAGUCCUCCUGAAGAAUAGGAUGAUGAAAUGAAAAGUCAGGAGCCCGCCUGAAGAACAGGGUGAUAAAACUGAAAGUCAAGAUGAAAUAGCAAGUCAGGAGCCCGCUUGGAGAAUAAGGUGAUGAAAUUAAAAGCAGGAGCCUGCCUGAAUAACAUGGUGAUGAAAUUUCAAGACAGGAGCCCGUCUGAAUAACAUGGUGAUAAAAUUAAAAGUCAGGAGCCCGCCUGAAGAACAGGGUGAUGAAAUUGCAAGUCAGGAGCCCGCUUGAUGAACAGAGUGAUGAAAUAACAAGUCAGAAGCCUGCUGAAGAAUAGGGUGAAAAAAUUGAAAGCCAAGCAAUAAGGUUAAGAGAUUGAAAUUUAGGUAACAAAGUGAAAUAAUGGAAAGUCAAUAAAGUGAGAAAAUUACAAAUCGAGAGCCCGUCCGAAGAACAAGGUGGUGAAAUAGAAAAUCUAAAGAUUAAAAAAUACCAAGUCAGGAGCCCGCCUGAAGAACAGGGUGAUGAAAUUGAAAGCCAAGCAACAAGAUGAAGCAAUUGUAAGUCAGGAGCCCGCCUGAAGAAUAGAGUAAAGAUUUUCAAAUAUAGGAUCAAGGUUCAGAAGUACUACCGACAAAAUAUGGUCAAUUUGUGAGUUCAUAUCCAGCAUUAAAUUUUGUAUGGAGAAGGAAUCUAUUCUCAAGUUCAACCAAAAGAAGAUUAGAUCUUUUAUCAAUUUUGAUAGCAUCAGAAACUCAAGUCAAGAGUCCAAAAGAAGCUACAUAAAUAAGACUUUUUGUAAUUUCAUUUAUCUUUUUAACUUGUAACUUUCACUUUGAUGUAAUAAUAAAGCUGCAGAGCGGAACCUCGACAAAUCUUCACUCAACUCUCUAACUCAGGAUAGUCUACUUUCUUUCCAACGUUUGAAAUACUCGUGACUCGAUCCCCUCAUAAUCUGGGUAAGUAGGAUGUCCAAAAUCAAGAAUUGGUUGCAUUUCUUCCUUAUGUUUCUUCCAUUUGAAUAAUGGCCAGGUCAAACUUCGAUUUCAUUGUCUACUUCUUGUCACGCCCCGUUUUUCUCGUGGAAAGCGAAAUUCGACUUGACAAACUCUUUUUGGAAUUACGUUAAGGAUAAGGUGUGAAGAGUCACCACCUAACAUACUUCGAUCUAGGAUACUACGAACCUAUUUUUUAUUAUUUAAGCAUAGUUCACCAGAGUUUGGGUAAGGGUUUAAAUUACCUCAAAAGAAAGGUGUUAGGCACCUUUCGAGGUCCACAAAGGUGGUUCCCGACCGAAUUCAUACUUUACAUGGGGAUUCUACGUGAUCAAAUAAAGUCUCUCAUUUUAUUAUUAUUUUAACGUUAAACUAAGUGAUAAAGAAAUUAAUAAACACACAUGUUAUUUUUAAUUGUUGAUUAUCUAAGUGAUAAAGAUAAAUAAAACAUGUAAAUAAGACAAGCGAGGAGAAAGAAAGCAAGAUAAUUUAUGAUAAACAUGACCCAAGGGCCAAACUCUUAGAUGAGUAAUAAUACCAUUAGCCUCGCCAUUAAUAUCUGUUGGGAUCAUCGUUUUCGAAUGACUACCCGUCCCACCCCACCUAGGCUGGAUGUCAAGUCUAAGGGCGUUUUAUGACAAGGAUAAAACUAACGUUUUUAAUAAUAAGUAACGUCCCACUAUCGCCCAAGAGGCGUUGGACUUAACUAUUUUGGAUUUGUGUUCUAGACAAAAGUAAAGCUAUGUUGUCUAGGACUCGAAGAGCAUAACACUUUGGACAGCAACUAACACAUAAUAGUCCCACAUUUGUCACUUGGUUUACUAAUGUUAAUUAAUGUGAUAGCAUGCGAAGACAAAUAAUUAUUUGUUAUGUUGUUAACCUAUAAACAUGAUAUCUAAAUGUUCAACAAAUAGUGAUAAAGGACGACUGUGACUCGUGUAUGCAACAAUGUAAUGUGUGUUCAUCAGGGGUGUCACAAGUGUGGUAAUUGUGUCAAGAGAUGUGCUCGUGAAUUAAGAGUUAUAAACUAUAAUGAGAAUAUAAGAAACUAGUAAAAUAUUAAAGGAUGCGUUAACAUAUUACGGAUGCACUUAAAUGCGAAGGGCAGAUUAACAUGUAGAAAAUGUAGAGAUUUACUAAUAUUUUAGCAUGCUGAAAGCCAACUAAACAUGCUGAAAAAUUAAUUAAACAGGUUGAAGAAGUUGAUUAAACAUGCUAAAAAAUUAAUUAACCAGAAAGGUUAUGUUAAAAAGUUACUUAAACAUGCUAAAAAAAUUAGUUAAUCAUGCUAAAAAAUUAAUUAAACAUGCUGAGAAUAGCAUUAAGGUAUAGUAUUUUCAUGUUGAUAUGCUGAAAACAUGCCAAGAAAGCCUAAAAUCUAAUAUUUUAACACGCUAUAAAUAUAGGGAACUAGCAUUUUAAACAUGAUGGAAUUAAGUCUAAGUGCUGAAAUAUAUUUAGAUGCGCAAAAAAAUCAUUUAAACAUGCUGAAAAUUAAUCUAAAAUUGCUAAACUAGAUGUUAGACAUAAUGAAACUAUGAUGUUAACAUGCUCAAAUAAUAAGUUGUACUUAACAUGCAAAAAUUAAUGUAAUAAGCUAAUGUAUCGAAAAUAUUAUCAUGCCUUAAUUCAAUAUGAAUAUGUUAAAAAAGUAUUAGCAUGCUUAGGUUCAAAUCAAUAUGCUUAACAUGCAGAAAUACAUCAACAUGCCUAACGUCAAAUUAAUAAGCUUAAUAUCAAUUAAUAUGAUACAUCAAUUUUAGCUAGAUAAGAGUAAUUAAUAAACCGUAGCAAGAUUCAUAUUCAUAGACCCUAAUUUUGUGCCUAGAUGAUUCAAAUAACACGUCUUGCACGUAAUCCUAAGUUGUGCCUACCUGUGCCGUUCACAGAGCACAUAAUCCCCGCCCCCAAAGCAGUCCCCAAAAUUUUUAUUACAUCAUUAAUAAAUGUCUUGACAGAGAUUACAAACCGAAUAAUGCGAAAAAUAUUCAAUUUAACAUCCCGGUGACUCUUAAUCCAAUGCUGACAUGCUGGUUCGUUGUCGGAAAGGGGAAAUAAAUGGAGAGAUAGUGAUGGAGGCUGAGGGGCUGGCGGCGCAGAGGCGGUGGUAGAUCUGGUCUCAUCGGAGUAGGCACUGGCAGCUGUAUAGUGGGUGGUGGGACAGCUAUCGGAGAAGGAGGUCUCGGUGGCGCUACUCCGCCGAUCAGCGGCGGCAGCCAUGGGAGAGAGAGGUUAGAUAGAGAGAGAAGGAGAGAGGUGAGAGAGAGAGGGGGAGGCUGUUGUUUGGUUUUGGAAUUAGAGUUAGGUUUUUGGAUUAAAAAGGAAAGAAAGGUGUAUCAAAUCUCAAUUGUUGGAUCCAUGUAGGAUCAAUGACUGAGGUUUAAAGAUUGAAAAUUUGGAAUUGAGUUUCAAAAAAUGGCUAAAAUUGCAAGAAAUUGGAUAAAAUUAGGUAAAAAGGUUAAUAAAUUUAGGCAAAAUGAAUUAAAUUAGGCUGUUAUUUAAAUUAAAGUAGGGAUAAUAGUAUAUGAUAAUAAUAAUUAAAUAAUAAAUAACAAUAUUAAAUAAUAAGUAAUAAAUAAUAUUAAAUAAUAAUAAAUAAUUUAAUAAAAUAAAUAAUGGAAAACUAGAUACUGUGUUUGCAAAAAUGUGGAUGUGCAUAACUACGUGGAAAAUAAUUUAAUAAAUAUUACUAAAAAUUACAUAAAAUGUUGAAUUUGAGUUUAAAAAUUAUGACAAUGAUACUAAAAGGUAAGAAAUAAUUUAUGCAUUUUUUUAAUUAUAAAUGCGACACGUUAGUAUGUACUCAAUGUAAGAAUAAUAUGUAAAAAUAUUGAUAAUUAAAAUUAAAUAAUUUUGAUAUAAUAACAGCCUAAAAGUGAUAUCGGGUGGUCAAAAUUGGGUGUCAACACUUCUUUGUGUGCAAACACUUUGUGUUUAUAUUCAAAGAGGAGCAUGAUGUAGACACGUAAUUUUGUCCCUUCCAAAAGCAAAAUUUUACAAUAUACCUCAUUUUACCAUGCACCCUCAAUCAUGUGAUAAGUUUCACACAAGAAAACAAUAAAUUCAUAACCAUUUUUGACACCUCACCUGACAAAUUUCACCUCAUCGUAACCACCCCAAUCCCCUACUCCACAUACCCCUACCCAUCCCAUGUACCUCCUAGCCCCACCGUCCUUGACAUGUUUUUUUCUCUUCCUUUUGCAAUAUAGCAGAAUAUGCACAUACUCUCAUAUGCGGACUCAUCCCCCACAAUAUACAUACACACUCACUGGUAUAGAGAAUUAGCAGCAACAAUAGAUGUCGUAUGCACUCCAUAAUAUAAUACACUCACUAGAAAAUAAGAGAAACAAUCCACGCACACCAGACAUUCUUUCAUUUUCACCAAUACACACAACUUUCACUCACAGAAGAUCACACACACAUUCACGCACAGGGGGGAAAGAAAAGAGGACCUCACCAUACCAUCGACACUAUUCUCACACGAAAACCUCACUGAAAUACAUCCACCCCACUAAAAUAUAAUUUAUUAAAAUCACAAACAUACACUCACGCUCAUAGUAACACACUCACACACGGAAAGUAGAAGUAGAGGGUAAAUGAUGAACGAAGGGAGAUAGAAAACAUAGUGACAGAUGAGUGAAAUGGAGCUGACCGGAGAGAGAUCGGAGAAACAGAAAGAAGAAAAACACUCACCGAAAACAACCUGUCCAGUGGUGCAAGCCCACCGAAAAACCAGUUUCGCCCACUAAGCUUUCGAAACCAGAGACCAAAGGCCUCAAAACUGACCAAAUGUUUAUAUUCAGGCGAGGCCCCGCUCAAUUUUUGGUGAAAAGCCAGCGAGAUUUCGCCGAAAAUUCCAUCGGCUCGUUGACCAUCAUCCAACCAUCCAAAGCGACCUUAAUCUAACUCAACUUCACUGUCCUGGAGGGGAUUUUGUCUUUCUUUCGUGAGUUUUGGCCUGGUUAGUGAGAAAUAGAAUCAGGUGUGGGUAGGGAAACUUGGGAAUUGUGAAAUGAACUUUAAUUUUGUCGAAUUCGAUAGUAUUUUGUUUAGGCCAUCAAAUAGAUUGGUAAACUUAGGGAUUAUGAAUUGUGAAUGUUUGAAGUGUUUGUUGAAUGGUGUUGGUUUUCUCGUAUUGAAAAAAUGUACUCAUUUAGACGAGGAAUGCCCGAGGUCAUUUGUAUUUAUCCACCGGGGAAUAUCCCGAAGUAUCUUGUACGCGAAGGACGUUCGUGAUGAAGGUCCGAGGCAUUGGGUAGAGCAUAGUUCAGGGUUAGUAUAGGUUAAUGUAAGUUUAUUUCUGUAUCUUUAUUUCACACUGUAAUAAUUGGACUGAACACUGUAUUUUGGAGUUUGAAUUGUUUGGUUGUUGUUUUUUUUUUUUUUUGAGUUUUUGUUGGUUUAUACAUUUUAUAGUGUUGUACUAGCCGAUAUACUCCAUGAAGCGCCCGUGGUUGAACCAUUAGAUCGGGGGAUGCCUAACACCUUCCACUUGGUCAACAGAUGUUUGGUUGUUGUUUUUUUUUUUUUGAGUUUUUGUUGGUUUAUACAUUUUAUAGUGUUGUACUAGCCAAUAUACUCCAUGAAGCGACCGUGGUUGAACCAUUAGAUCGGGGGAUGCCUAACACUUUCCACUUGGUCAAUAGAAUUCCUUAGCCGGAAUCUCUAUUCACAAAUCAGUUUAAAGAGUCAAAAUUGUUUUGAAAAAGGAUUUCCAAAGAUAACUUGGCACACCGAUUUAUGCCAAGUGGCGACUCUGAGUUUAAAUGUAAAAAAAUCUUUUUUCGAAAUAAACUUUAUCUUUUGUCACUUAAUAAUAAAAACCCUUUCAACCUUAAAAUGAAAUCUUUUUGAUAAAAAAGAGGUGUGAAAAGCAGUACCAGUUCUUGAGAUGUUCGGAAAUAAAUUAAGUCAUUAACUGAAUUAUUGUGUUUUAAUAAAGUUAAGCCUGAUCAUGUUAACCUUCGAUCAAAACGACCUUGGAUUAGUGUUUUAAUAUUUCCAAUAGGGACAGAACAUACUUUUAGUCAAUGUACAUAUUUAGUCUAUUCCCUCGAGGCUCCAAACAAAUUUCGAGAAACUUUUCAAAGUUUUGAAUAUUUUAGACAUUAUUUUAGUUGGUGGUUAAUGUGCCAAGUUGACAUCUUCUUAAUUAUUGAGACUUAUGUACUAGAGUAAAACAUAAGUGGUAAGGGUUUGGAAUUAACUUUAAUAAUAACAAGUUAGGGUAAGACAGGGGCACGACAGUUAGCAGUUAUUUUUCCUCUUCUGUAGUUUCAAGAAGAACCUCUCGAUUGAGCUUCAGGUAACCCCUUUUAUGUGAAUUAAUUUUCUAUUGUCUUGUCUAUCUACUGUUAAGUAUAUACUUAUGAGUAGGGGUGGCAAACGAGCGGAUUGGAUUGGAUUUGGACGGGUUAAAUAUGGAUCGAGCAAAAAUAGUUUGGAUUGCAAUCCGCCCAUAUAAAUAUGGGUAAAUAUGGAUUUGAUCAAAUAUGAAUUGGGUAAAAAUGGUUUCAACCCAUUUUAACUCCCAAAUCAAAAACUUAAAACUUCUAUAUCAUAUCAACUUGACUUUUUUUUCCAUUUCUUUUUUUUUAGUUUUUUCUUUUUAGUUUUUUUUGUCUCUCUUCUAUAUGUAACCUCUAGUUUUCUUUUCUUUUUUUCCUUUUUUUUGUCAUUUCUUUUUUUUUUUUUCUCUUUUCUAUCUCUACCCUCUACCAUUUGUUUCUCUUUUUCUUUUUUCUUUUUUCUUUUUCCUUUUUAGUCUUCUUUUUUUCUUUUUUUAAGUUUUUUGUUUUUACUUCUUUCUCUUUUUUUUUUCUUUUUUGGUUGUAUUUUAUGUUUUAUAUUUUUUUUAUUUUCGAAGAACAUGGUUAAGUUGAGUACAAAUUAUGGAUGAUGGCUAAAAUAUCGUAACCACUCAGUAUAUUUGUUUUCACCAUCUUCUUUUUUCUUUUUCAUUUUCUCCUUUUUCAUUAUUUUUUCUUUUUGAUUUUUUUUGUAUUAUUUUUCUUCAAUUCUUUCUUUACACUUUUUUCUCUCUUCUAUCUCUAACUUCUACCUCUCUUUCUACUUUUUUUUUCUAUUUUUGGUUUCCUUUUUUUUUUAUGAUAACAAAAAUACCAUAAGCGCAUGUUGAUUUAUAUUCGCCCAACAUUUAUGAUUCGAGGGCUAUGUGGAUCCUCAUCUAUAUAUAUUUUAGUCUCAAGAAAAUACAAUUAAUUCAUAUACUUUUUUUGAUUUUUUAUCCGGUGUCCGGUGCCUGUAUUGGAGCCCCGACUAAUCCGGAUCGGGCGUUGCAGUGCCCAUUAAGGUGGCAACGCUCCCAACAGAGUUUUCUCUAUAACCAGGGUCAUACCCUCGACCUCUGGUUAAGGGUGGAGCAGCCCCAUCUACUGCACCACAACCCAUGUUGAUUUUAAUUCAUAUAUUUGUUUGUAUAUAAAUACAAAUGAUAAAUUGCACAUAUUGACAACUAAACUAUUCAAAUACAAAUAAUAAACUUAUUUUAAAUAUAUAGUAUGAUACAAAUCAAUUUAAAGUAAAAAAAUAUAAAAUGCAAUGACAAAAAAAAGAUAAGGAAAAGAAUAUAAAAAAAUAAGAAAAAUGACGAACCAAGAAUGAAAAAGGGGGAAACGGAAAUACAAAAAAAAGAAUGCAAAGAAAUAAAAUUAAAAAGGAAAAAAAUGAUGAAAAAGAAGAAAGAAAAAAAGUGUAAGAAACAAGUAAAAAAUAAGUGGAAAAAAUGAAAAAGAAAAAAAAUAAAUCAAAGGAAAAAAAAAAUAGUAAAUUAAAGGAAAAAAGAAAGAAAGAAUGAAAAAAAAAAAGAGAGAAAUAAAAGAUAGAAAAAAAUAAUAAUAAAGGAGUGAGACUAUGGAUUAUAUUUAAUUGAUAAGAGAUGUUAUGAAUUAUAUAGGCUAAAUGGCAUAAUUAGAAGCUUAUAUUUUACUAACCCAUGUAGGUUUCAAGCGAAUACGAAUGAUGAAAUAAGAAUGAGAAAGGGGAAAGCGAAAAAAAAGAAUAUAAAGAAAAAAGAAAUAAAAAAAUAAAAAAAUAGAUGAAAAAAUGAGAAAGAAAAAAAGAAAUUAUAAGGAAUGAGUAAAAAAAUGAAAAAAAAAAAAGUAAAUUAAAGGAAAAAAAAGAAAAAAGAAAAAGAAAAGAAAAAAAACUGAAACUUUAAGCAUAGGUGGGUGAUCUCUAUGUUUAAAUGGGUACCCAUAUUUUACCCAUUUUAUUCAUAUUUGUAUGAGCUUUUAAAAUGAGUUGAAGUUCAUAUUUACCCAUUUGAAAUAUGAGUAAUCCAAUUCACUAAAUAUGGAUUAAAUUCCGGUGUAUUAGGAUUAGAGUUAUUAAUUAAUGGAUUGAUUAGACUGUAGUGAUAACGAGAAUGAUAUGGUGAUUAGUGGGCAACAAUGUACGGGUAAAGUUAAUUAGAUAAUGUUAAUGGUGUGAUCUUAUGGAUAAUUAUUAAUUGGGUUGGUUAUGUACUGUUUUAUAAUAAUAUUAAUAUAACUAUUAGUGGUUGGCUACUAGGAGUAACGAAAUCUCACUACUAGACGUGUUUGCUCAUGGCCGAACUGAUGUUAUGCUCUUAGUUAAUUUAAGUACGGAGUGAUGGUAAUGGAGAAUUAGCGAUAGGAUUGGCUUAUGGCUAAUGAUUUUCAUGUUGUUGAAGAUUUUUAGUUCACAAUAGUUUGUGUAUUAGGGUGGACUCUGAGAUUUAUAGAAUUGAGGUAUAGGUCUAUAGUUUUUUGAGUGAAAAUAUAUCAAGAUUGGUGAUCGAAUGAUGGUCUAUUUUAGUUGAAAUUUGACACACUAGUUCAUACGCUUACGAAAAAUGUAUAUUUGAACAGAUUUAAACCAUUCGAAAGCUUUAAGAAAAGGAAAGACCCUUGCAAAGUAGCUUGCAUUCGGAUUCUUCGGUUGAGGUAGGUCACGAUUUAAUUAGAGUUAGACUCGAUUUAAUUAUGUGUAUGCUCCUAAAUUGGAUGUUUGUUGAUUGGUAUUCGGACAUGCUUGAAUUUGAUGAUAUUUGGAUUGUUGAGACGUGUAUAAAUAAUUAUUGAAAAUUUACUUGUUGAAAUUGUCUUAUGACUUUAAGUGUACUUGUAAACUUAGUACACCGUAUUGUAUCCUGGGAGGUAGUGUAAAUUUGAUAAAACAUACCUAAUAUGAUUAUGGAGUAUCGGGAACCACGUUGGUACGAAUAUGAUAUUGAUAUUACUUAUUUAUGGAGGAUCGGGUACCACGUCGGUACGGAUAUGAUAUUGAUAUUGCUUAUUUAUGAGGGAUCGGGUACCACACUGGUACGAAUAUGAUAUUGAUAUUACUUGUUUAUGGUGGAUCGGGUACCACGCCGGUACAAAUAUGAUAUUGAUAUUACUUGUUUUAUAGAGGAUCAGGUACCACACCGGUACGGUACACGAAUAUAGAUUAUUCCCUGCCUAGCUUGGCAAAAUAAGUCCCUGAGCAUGUGUGUACAUAUUUGUGUUGAAUUUGAGAGGUUGUAUGGGUUAUAAAGCAGAUAACGGCUAACGGUGCUCUAACUACGAGGUUUAGGAGGAUGUAGUUGUUACUUGUGGUAUUGUUGUUGAUUCUGUGGAUGUUUAUGUAAGACCCCAUAAAAGUCCUAGUCUAAUCCAGUCCUAUAUAGCAUGAAAAAGAGGUGCCAGACUUGGAAAAAUUUCAGCCAAGUGUUUAUACUUAGAAUCAUUUUUGGUCUUCAUAAUUUGAUGAUCAUAUUUUUUAUCUUGACGACCCUAAAUUAUCGAUUUCUAAAUUGAUUCAUGAUCGGGGACGUCAAUAGGUGUUCUCGAACGAGUUUUAAAUUUUUCGAACAUCGUUUGAGGCACGUUUGGGUGUCCAAAAUAGUGCAUUGAUCCGAUCUCGAUGCGCCGCAUCACCUAUCGCGUUGACAGUGUUGUCACCAGCUCAAGUGGGCAGGUUUCAGUGAGCCAAUGCGAUCUCAACGCAUCACGUCUGCCAUUGCGUCGACCCCAUCGACGCAGCGCAUCGGUUUGCGCGUCGCUGGGUGUAUUUUUUAGUAAUUAAAUCUACGUCCAUAGGGGUAUUUGGGUCAAUUUUCCCACAUUUAUUCAACCCUAAAACACAAGAUUAAGCCACCCUAGAGGCAAAAUUCAUUCUUUAUUCUCAAAUUCUCUCAAGAACGAAACCCUAGGGCAUUCAAUUUCAAGUCCAAGUUUCAAGAACACGCCAUCAAUCUUCACGAAUUUGAUUACUAAGGUAUGUUAGGUGUUCAUCCUUGGAUUUUCUUCCACCCUUGGAGUUUAAGAACCCUUUUUAAACUACAAUUUUAUGAUUCUAUGGUUUACAUGUUGGAAUUUGAUUGUGUUCAUGUAUGUAUUGAUGUUUGGGUUUUCAAUCCAUGAUUAAUUGCAAGUUUCAUGAAAAUCAAGAUAGUAUGUGUGUUGAAUUAUGUGAUCCUUAUGUUAAACCUUCUAAUUGAAAGUUGAGUAUUAUUUUCAUGAUGCUUAUGUGAUGUUCACUAUCAUGUGCAUUAGUUAUGCUCCCCAAGUGUUUGACAAAAUGUUUAAGUAAAUGCAUCGUUAACAAGCAAUUAUUGUUAUGCUUUCAAGAUUAUGUCAUGCUUUACUAUUGGUGCUAUCGAGUCCUGGGGGUAUUCAAUACCCGACAAUCUAGUUGUUUACCUAGAAUUACAGUAACUAUAGAGUAGUCUCGGUAAUGUCACAAACAGUAUUACUCAGUCAGUUACAGAACUCAGUCCAGUUCAGUCAGUCAAUACGAUCAGUAACUAUUCGGUCAAGCCUGGCACAGUCUAGUGAUCAGUCCAGUGUCCAUUUAGUUGGAAGUAGGAUUCAGCACCGAGCGAAUCCAGGGAUGGGGGCAUGCCUGCCAGCAGAGGGUUUGACCCUUAGUAGCAGUCCCUGAGUUACAGAACUACGAAGCCAGCGUAGGGUAAGACGUCCUCCUGCCAGACUAGGGUUGACAUAACCAUAUAUAUAUUUAUAUAUAUAAUUCAUGAGUCUUCCUGCCAGAUUAGGGUUGACCCAGCAUUGUUAGUAUCCCUUGGCAAGGUGCUAACACCCUUCCAACCGGGGUCACAUAUUGGACCCCAACUCAGUUUAUAAUCGAGGUAUAUCGGUUAGAUGAACACUUCCACAGUUACAGUUUCUGACUCAAUAUAGAACUCAGUUCAGUUAUACAGAAUCAGGCCUGUCAGAAACUGUCACCCAAUUAUCAGUAAUACAGUUAUCAGUAAUCUCAAAUAUGAGUCACUCAAUUAUCAAAACUCAGUACUCAGUCUCAGUAUGAUCUCAGACAUAAUAUAUAUAUAUAUAUANNNNNNNNNNNNNNNNNNNNNNNNNNNNNNNNNNNNNNNNNNNNNNNNNNNUAUAUAUAUAUAUGCAUAGUAUUGCAUACUCAAUAUUCACAGCAGUCUCAGUUACCCAUGUACUCUCAUUCAGUUAUACUUAUAUCAUUCAGUUAGUAAAUGUUCAUGCAAAUGAACCCAUGUAUAUCAGCCUACCUCACUUAGUAUACUAGUACAUUUAAAUUACUGACGCAUACUCUUUUGCUUGGACUAUGAUAUCUCAUAUCAUAGGUUCGAACGCACAGGUUCCUGACCACGCUUAGCCAGAUUCAGUUAGCAGCAGUAGAUUCGGUAGCGAUUCCUCAUCUAUCAAGGAUAUUAUUCUUUUUCAGUAUGUAGUAGUCGGAGUUAGUUGGGGACUUUUUCCAUUAACUCCACAUUCAGAUAGUUCAGUUAGAGGCUUUUCGGACUAGACUAUUUUCGACAGAUAUUCAGUUAUUUAGUAUUACUAUCAGUGUUUAUUAUUUAUUUUAGUAUUCAAAUUAUGAACCUUAUGGCAUUGCAGUUAUACUUUCGCAUUUAUUUCAG